GAUAUACCAGCAUUCACUCCGUAUUCAAUUCGGUUUCAGCCCUACCCCAUCCCUUUGUUAAAUAAACUUUAGCAAUUGCAAUUGCCGUAUCUGUUUCUCCUCAAUAAUGGGGAAUUUCAUUACCGAUGAAGAAAUUAACUGAUAUAAUAUUUUACUGUAUGGGGUCUAUCAUGAUUGCAAAUGACUCAUUUUCUGAACAACACUGAAGAAAUUAUAGAUAUAGCAUACUGUAUUGGGCAAUUAUUUAUUUUUCAUCUUGUAAUUUAUCUUGAUGAAUCUAUGGACCUGGAUACUUUUGGUACACAGUACUACGAGCUUGUAGAUUGUGAACCGGAGAAGUUGCUGAAUGAAAUUGUAUUUUGAUUCUCAAAGGUAAGAAAUUUAAAGUUAUCUUCGCUGCACAAAG
rnacentral:lncRNA from 1 species